UAUUGUGAUCGGGUUCGACCUGCGAUUCGUAUCUUGCCUCGGGCUGUCCUAGCAUUUCGAGGGCUGACAUCGCAGAUGCUUCGUUGGCGCAAGGUCUUGGAGAUUCGGGGGGACAUCGCAGAUGCUUCCUUGUGUUGUGUCGUCCGAUGUAGUGCCCGAGGGUGGUAGAUCGUCUGCUGACGGGGUGUACGUUAGGGAGGUACUCAUGGUGAUUCUGUUGCCCCGGUUUCUCCUGUUCCUCCCCAUAAGAAAUUACUUGAGCGCUUGGCUGACAAGACCGGGGAGCUAGCCAGGUGCAUUCUCGCACUUAUCCAGUUGGUGAACGAGGCUGGCGCGGUUGCAGGGAAUAAUGUGAAUUUCUGGCAGGUUUUAGAUGCUGCGCAGGUAUUAAUGAACCAUGCUCACAACCCACAUUUACUCAGUUUGAUGAAGAGUUCUAGGGUAAUGCUGAUAAUAUACGGGCGUUAGUAGAGGUUGAGCGUGCCAUAUUGAAGAGGGCUAAUUUGAAGGAUUUUCCAUCUUUUAGCCUUGGAUUGACUCGGGAGUUUGGACACGAUGUGUGGGGUGAUGUGUCUAAUAUUGCUAGGGUGAUUAAUGAAGGUCAUGAUGACCAUUGUGUGGGUGGUGGUAUUGGCCGGGAUGCGAAUAUUGAUCACAUUUCUGGAUCUCAGCAUGGUGGUUGCUCAGGUGUUAAUGCCGAACAACAAGUUCAUGAUGGGGGUGUGGAUGGUGGUUCAGAUAUGGUCUGCGCGCAAAUGAGGGGGUCAAUUAAAUGUUGGGGCCCAACCGAAAAACGUUUGGUGGACGUUGUUCCUGUAGUUGCUGGAGUGUGGGGAGUGGUUGGGGGGCCCUUCACGGCAGGGUGUUGGUUUAAGUGACAUUGUAGAUGGUCGGUCGUUCGUUACACCCACAGAGGUUGUUCCUCGUGUGGGUUCCACAUUUGUUUGUCUUGCUCCACACAAGGCAAAUAAUAGACCAGCUCGUACUGUUUUGGGGUCAGUUCGCCGUAGUGGUGUCCACUCUAUUGCUUCCGUGCCUUCGCUCGAUUUAUUGGAUGAUGUCAACUUUUUCAAGUGGGUGCUCAAGUAUGGGAGUGAUGAUUUGCAUGAGUUUUUAUUCUCUUACAGUGGUCUGAUUGUUAGUCGUGAGGAUAUAUGUUCUUUGGCACCUGGGGCAGAGGUUUCUGUGGGUGUGAUUAUUGCUGGGUCCUGUAUAAUAACUUAUAGAGAACAUACCAAGGAUCCAUCAACACCAACUAGGGUGUUUGCCUCUCCGUUCGCUACUGUAUAGUUAUUUGAACACUACUGUGUUGUUCGAAAAAAUAGACAAGCUGAAGUUGGCUAGGUUUUCGAAGGCUUUGGGGGCUGAUUUUGCACUUGGGUCAUUAUAAAAUAUGGGGUCAUGUUCAUCUCCUUUUCUUUCCCAUCCUUCAACAAAAUCAUUUCUACCUCUUGUGUGUCGACUUCAAAUUCGAGCAGCUUGAAAUUAUUGAUAAUUCUGCUUCAACUCAGCCCUCUCCGGCGAAGUAUGGUGAUACCCCAGAAAAUGUGAAACUGUUGUUGUUCGAAUAUUUCACAUCUGUUGGUGAGAAGUUCAAGUCAAUUGUUUGUGACAAUUUGAAGACUAAAAGGAUGCCAAUGACGUGGCGGGACACCAAGAAUAAGGUGGACUAUGGCAUGUAUCUUAUGCGGCACAUGAAGAGUUAUGUGAGUGAAGCCGUGAAGGUGUUGCAAAAUGGGAUUGUGGGCUGACUAGUGGUGACAGAUCGCAACUUUAGAGGCUACGUUUGCGUUAUAUGAAGGAGCAUUGCACACUUGAUAUAAGUGCACACCGUACCAGCAAUGUGGCUCAUGCGUUACGAUUUCUUUCCGGGCAUUAGUUUCCUUGCUGUUGUUUACUAGUCGUUUACUUUUGGGGGUCGUUGUUGGAUUUUCAUUACUAAUGUUUACUCACACUUUUGUUCUGUUUUCAACUACUUCAUUUCUAGUGUAACAGAUUUUUUCGUUCACCAACAGUGUUAUAGUUUUAUUAUUAUGCACGUAUUACUUUAGUUAUCA